GGGCAAUGGAUAGCCUGAUAUUUGGGUGAAAAACUCCAAUUUUUAAAUGUUGACAGCUAAUUCAAGGAAUUUUAAAAACACCAUAACUAGCCAAAUAAAAGAUAUCUGUUGAGCAUAUAAGGCCCAUACUCUGCAGUAUGCAUCUUCUGAUUCAGUUGGAGGAAAAACAGGCCCCAAGUGAUAAACAAACUGUUCAAAAUUAUGCAGCUAAUUAGUGGCAGAGCAGAAUAAGAAUGCCAAUUUUGUUUUCUGCUUAUGACGGUAACUCUUUGAAAAAAUUAAUCUGAAAAUAUUUCCAUAUGUACAAAUUUCAUUGCUGUUAUAUGUUCACCAUUGAUUGAGGAAGAAGAAAGAAGCAGCUGUGGUGAAGAGACAACCUCACCAUCCCUGUGGGUAAGAUCAAUGGUGAUUCAAUGGCCUAAAGUGAGAAAUUUUUUCAGGGCGAAUGGACUACAACUAAUUUAUUGUGUAUUUAGAAGUUUAAUGUGGUUUCUGUUUGUUUUUGUUUUGCUUUCAUGAGUCCCUAUCAUCUUUUGGAAUCCUAAUUAAAAACAAUAAUGUAAAAGCAGAGUUAAUUAUCUUGUGUCCAAAUUCCUUUGGUUGGUUGUUGCUGUUUUGUCUUGUUCCACCAAGUCAAUAUUAAAUCAUUGUAAGUAUCUCUCUAAGUCUUUUCUGGAUUGAAGUCAGGUGAAUCAUGCCUAAGUGGAACUGUAUGAUGAAUACGAAAAAUAGUACCAGGACUGGUAGUUAUGGAGAUGUUAAUGAAACAUUCCUGGGAACAAAUUAAGAUCAUUUCAUCCUAAUUUGUCAAAAACGUAUAAUGUAUUUUAUUCCCUGAAAUAAUUUAUCAUUAAAACAAACUGUUUUCCUCAUUGUGAAAAAAUGGCUAUAACUACCCAAUUACUGAUGUAAUAAUUAAGAUUUUAAUUAAUAGUAAUAUGUUGGCAAUAUGAACAAAUGCAUGUUCUACGUGAAUUAACCUACUUAUAAUCUAAAAAACAAACAAAAAACAAGGCAUAAAAACAAGAUUUUAUAGGAAAUGGAAAAAUAAAGAUAAAAAAAUAAGCAAUGGAGGGUUAACGAAUCUGACUAAGAACCAUGAGGUUGUGGGUUCAAUCCCUGGCCUCGCUCACUGGGUUAAGGAUCCAGCCUUGUCGUGAGCUGUGGUAUAGUUUACAAACGUGGCUCGGAUAUGGUGUUGCUGCGGCUGUGGUGUAGGCCGGUGGUGACAGUUCCAAUUAGACACCUAGCCUGGGAACCUCUAUAUGCUUCGAGUGCAGCCCUAAAAAAAAGGACAAAAGACAAAAAAAAAAAAAAAAAAAAAAAAAAAAA
rnacentral:lncRNA from 1 species